rnacentral:lncRNA from 1 species
AUGGGAACCAGGCUAGAAAAUAUGAGCCGCAGGCAGGGCAAGAUAGAAAAGAGGCAAAGAAAAUUUAAGGAGCACGAGAAGAAGAAAAGUAAGAUGCUAUCAAAGAUGAUGCAGAAGUUUUGUGCACUUUGUGGCUCUCAGGACUCGGAUGAUGACAAUGGGUCAAAGAUGAUGCAGAAGAUGAGUACACUUUGUGGCUCCCAGGACUCGGAUGAUGAUAAUGAGAUGGACGCUGAGCUUAAAUUUCCCACCACAUCCAGUUCAGACUGAUGCAGUAUCCAGGGAGCACUUUCCACCAUUUUAUUCUGUCAUGUUUAAUUGCAUUGGGGACAAUGCAAUAUCUUUUUUUGGGGGUGGCUUCUUGUAUAACUGUGGUUAUGGCAUGGUUAUGGUGGAUUAGUAUAAUAUUAUUGUUGUUUUUAUUUUAUUUUGUGUG